CUCCUGGAUCCCUGAGAACAAUCCCACUGCCGCCCCAAGGACCACGCUUGUCGAGUGCUCUUCUGAGCUCUCCUGUGCUCCUUCCUGGUUCUGCAAGAUCCUGGUAAAGAGCCAUUAGAAGAAGCAAGAAACACCUGAGUUUGAUGCAGAGCUGGAGGGGGAGUUGAAAUCUGCAUUUCGUCAGAGAAGCAGUGGAAACCAGAGAGCUGAGCACAGCGUGGGUGAAAAUCUUCAGGCCUGGGCGUCUGAACGGGACUCUAGGCACCUUGGACACAGCCCCUAAACUUGAGGAUGGAGAGAAACCCACAUCUGCUCACACAACUGAAAGAGACUGCAACUCCUGCCAUGGCACCUGCCCUCACUACCCGUUUGGGCUUGGGUGCUGUGAAGGAGCACUUGUCCACUGCCAGCAGCCUUUGGAGGGUACAGUGAAGCUGGAGUCUGAAGAAAUGGUUUGCACACAAGGGCCUGGCGUCAGAUCUGACCAGAUCACCGAGAUCAUCUUCUUCCACCCAAACCCCAAGAGAAACUGAGUCACUUGAAUGAAGACACUUGUAAAAAGUAAACAGCAACGCUUAAGGAGAGUUGAAGGAGCUGAUCUGGACACGGAUGUAGCUGCCACUGGACCAGAUAAAUCUGAGCUCUUUCCCCACCCACUCUUCUUCUGAUUCCAUUUCCCUCCACUGCCCCAACUAGAAAAUUUGGGGUAGAUGGAUCUAAAACCUUCAGAGGAAUGGACACUACCCUCUUGAUGCCUUCUACUCACCU